rnacentral:misc_RNA from 1 species
UCCUGACUAUUUGGAGUUCUGUAGG